AGCCGCGGUAAUACGGAGGGUGCGAGCGUUAAUCGGAAUUACUGGGCGUAAAGCGCAUGCAGGUGGUUUGUUAAGUCAGAUGUGAAAGCCCGGGGCUCAACCUCGGAAUAGCAUUUGAAACUGGCAGACUAGAGUACUGUAGAGGGGGGUAGAAUUUCAGGUGUAGCGGUGAAAUGCGUAGAGAUCUGAAGGAAUACCGGUGGCGAAGGCGGCCCCCUGGACAGAUACUGACACUCAGAUGCGAAAGCGUGGGGAGCAAACAGGAUUAGAUACCCUGGUAGUCCACGCCGUAAACGAUGUCUACUUGGAGGUUGUGGCCUUGAGCCGUGGCUUUCGGAGCUAACGCGUUAAGUAGACCGCCUGGGGAGUACGGUCGCAAGAUUAAAACUCAAAUGAAUUGACGGGGGCCCGCACAAGCGGUGGAGCAUGUGGUUUAAUUCGAUGCAACGCGAAGAACCUUACCUACUCUUGACAUCCAGAGAACUUUCCAGAGAUGGAUUGGUGCCUUCGGGAACUCUGAGACAGGUGCUGCAUGGCUGUCGUCAGC
rnacentral:rRNA from 1 species